AUACUAUUUUUAUGUCAGUACUAGUACAAGCGUUCACACGUAUACACGCGAUGUAAACAGAAUACAUAUUUAUAUAUGUUGCAUUAGUUUUAUUUAAUUUACGCCUACGUUAAAAAAAAAAAAAAAAAAAAAAAAAAAAAAGUUUCUCCACAUAAAUAUAUUUGAAAAAAAAAUAAUAAAUGAGACAAUAGUAACAUAAAAAAAAAAAAAAAAAAAUAAUGAAUGAAUUAAAAGAGUUAAGUAAAAAAAUAAAAGAAAACAUUGAGAUAGGUGAUACAACAGGAAAAGCGGAAAAUGAUAAGCGAAAUGAAAAACAAGAAAAGGAACAAGUAGGUACACAAAAAGAACCUGAAAUACGAAACUUAUUUGAGAAUUUUAUCACUAACAAUUCUGUUAACUAUUUUAGUUCUUUUUUACAUAAUACAAGUUUAGUAAGUAAAAAAGAUGAACAUAUAUAUGAAGAAAGUGGUAAAAAUAAAGACGAAGAUAUUAAUAAAAACUCAAGUAAUGAUAACUAUUUAGAAAAGAAUGUUAAUUUAAUUAAAAAAAAUAGAAACAAUGGUGAUAAUAUGUAUAGCCACAGACAAGCGUAUAAUAUAAAAGAAAAUAAUAUAAUAAAUGAUAGAAGUAUGCAAUUAAAAAAAGAAAAGAAUAAAAGGAGUAGAAAAGAUUUAGAAAAAAAAAUGUUCAAAAACAAGCACAUCAAUAGUAGUAGUAAUAAUAGUAGUAGAAGUAGUAGUAAUAUAAGUGUUAUUAGUAAAGUAAGUAGUGGUCAUGUAAUUGGAGAUAAUACAAGUAAUAGUACUUUGUACAGUAGCGUAAAUAUAAAAAAGCUUUUACCAAAUAAAAAAACAAUCGAGGUUAAACAUUUAAAUCUCAUAAUUAACAGCUUUAAUAAAGAAAUUGUAGAAAAACGUAAAGAGUUAAAAGUGUUUAUGAAAAAGAAUAAGUUACAUAAUGAAUACAGUAACAAGAUUUUAUUAAUAGAACACUUAAAUAAAGAAAUGGCAAAAAUAGAGCAAAAAAAAAUAAAUGAAAAUAAUGUUUUACAGGAAUUAUAUUUAAAUACAAAAAAAAAAAAAAAAAAUUAUUAUUCUUUAAUUUUUUUUAAAAAUUUUUUUUUUUUUUUAAAAAGUUAUACACUUUUAUUAGACAAAUGUAUAAUGCAUUUUCAAAAAUUUCAUAUUUUAAAAUCUUUAGUUUACCUUAGAAAUUGCAAAAUGCUUAUUUUGUUAAUAACUAUUAUGUUUGAAUAUGCAAGUAAGGGUGUAGAUGGUAAUGAUAGUAGUAGCAAUGUAGUGCAUGUGAAAAAACAAGGUUAUGUGUUUAAUGGACAAGGUAAAGGGAAUCAGCCUCUAAAUCAACACCAUAAACAUAACCAUAACAAUACUAAGUCGCUUAUUUGUAAUACUCCAUUAAUAAAUGAAAUAAAUGUUUUGGAUUCUGAGGACAAUAAAAAAGUAUAUGUGACUUCGGUUAAUGACAAUAUAAUAUAUAAUAAAAAUGACACAAGUUGUCACGCUGCGUUUCCACCAAAUAAGAAUCAGCAUAUUGGUGAAACAUAUUUGAAUACUAAUGUUAUAGAUAAUUUAAAAACGUUAUUUGAAACAAAACAUGUUACUCCAACUAGUAGAGAUAACAAAAUGUGUUUUGUAAAAGAAAUAAAAACAAAAUAUGAGUGUAUGUUAACAAAUUUAAAGAAUAUUGUUAAUAUUAUUUUUAAAAAAAUGUUUACAUUUUCAAAUAACAUCAAAAUAUAUAAAUAUAUUUACAUAAAUUCGAAUGAUCUUUGUAUGAACACUGAAAAUAAUGAAAUGGAAAAAAUAUCUUAUAAUAUGUUUUGGCAUUUCGCAUAUAUUUUAAAAGAAGAAAAUAAAUAUUUAAAGAUUAUAAAAAAUGAAAUGUUUGCUCAUUUAUUUAAAUUUAUAAUUUUAUUUUAUUGCACUUUGCAUGGUAUAGAUGUUACAAAUACAUUAAAUAGUAUUUCUAAAAAGUGCUCAUGUACAAAUUCGUUGACAUACGAAAGUGUAGAAAAGGUUAUAUCAGGUAUUGUAAAAAAUACAACUAUACAUAAACGAACAAGUAAUCAAACACACAUAUCUAGGUGUAAAAAACGUGUUAACAAUUCAUGUAAAAAUUUUACUAUAUUUAAAAAUUAUAUGUUUUAUAAUUAUAAUGACAAUGACAUAUCAUUAAAUAUACCUAAUAAUUUAAUAAAAGAAAAUAAAAUGGAAGAGGAAACGUCUAAGUGUAAUAAGCCAUGGAGCAAUAGUGUUACUUUAAGUGACUAUAUUGUUGAUAAUAAAGAAUUUGUUUUAAUUGACAUGUGUAAUUUUUUUAAUAAUUUGAUUUCUUCGGUAAAUAAAAUUCAAUCUUGGGGUAAUAAUGAAAAAUUUGUGUCAAAGUUGGAAUGUAGACCUGGGCCUAAGCCUGAGUCUGGGCCUAAGACGUGUCUAGAAGGUGUAGUUGAUGAUGAUACCGCAAAUGGUGAAAUAGGCGAAAACGGGAUAACAAUAGGCAACGACGUGAAUAUUUUAAAAAAGGGUAAUAAUAAUGACUAUACGUGUGCCAAUAGUAGUACCAAUAGUAGUACCAAUAGUAGUACCAAUAGUAGUGCCAAUGGUAGUGCCAAUGGUAGUGCCAAUGGUAGUGCCAAUGGUAGUGCCAAUGGUAGUGCCAAUGGUAGUGCCAAUGGUAGUGCCAAUGGUAGUGCCAACUUAACAGCAAAACCAAAUGAUUAUUUUUUUUUUUCGCUUUUAUCAAACAAUUUAAUCGAAUUAUAUAACCUUAUGAAAAUAUUAUUUGUUAUAAAGCUGGACAAAACAAAUAUAAGGGCUUUACAAAUUGAAGGUGAUGUAACAGCUGAAGAGUUAAUAAAGUUAUUUAAUUUUUAUUUUGAUAAAAAAAAUGACAUCGGUCAUAAUGUAGAACCAUAUUUAAAUAAGUAUAAUUUACAUUUUGAUGGACAAGAACCACUAAAAAAUUUAAAAAAAAAAAUAAAAAAAAAGUAUGACAGUGAUAGAAGAAACGGCAGAGAAAACGGUAGAGAAAACGGUAGAGAAAACGGUAGAGAAAACGGUAGAGAAAACGGUAGAGAAAACGGUAGAGAAAACGGUAGAGAAAACGGUAGAGAAAAUGGUAGAGAAAACGGUAGAGGCAACGACGAAAGCGACAACGAAAGCGACAACGAAAGUGACAACAGGUCCAGGUUCAUACCAAUAAAUAACACCGUUUUCCCUCUUUACACAUUAAACAAAAAUAUGAAUGAAAAUCUAUUUUACUUUUUUCAUAAAAUGAAUUUAAAACAAAAUAAUUUAAAUAACACGUGUCAUAUUUACUAUAUAUAUAAAUGGCAAAGAAAAGAAAAGGACUUUUUUUUCUUAAUAAAAACAAUUUUAAAAAAUAAUUAUUUUUAUUAUCUCAAUAACGUAUUUUUCACAUUACAUAAUAUAUUUUACUUAUCAAAACGGAGGCAAAAAU
rnacentral:lncRNA from 1 species